AGCAAUAGAAGGAUCCCUUGAAGAUGAUGAGGAACAACUAGAAACAAAUGGAUGAGAUGAAGAAGAGGUAUAGGAAGAGUUGAGGGCAUUCUGUGCUAAAAAGGCAAUAUUCGGUAGUAACAAGGUGUGAAGUAUGAGGAAGAAACCUAUUCUAUUCUAACCCAAUCUAGUUUGUUAAACAACCAUGAAAUGAACCAAACCAUAGGGUUUAGAAGAGAAAUUUUAUGGCAAGUAAAGAUUAUAACCCUUCC
rnacentral:lncRNA from 1 species